rnacentral:rRNA from 1 species
GACGAACGCUGGCGGCGUGCUUGACACAUGCAAGUCGAACGGAAAGGCCUGCUUUCCCUUGUGGAUUGCGGGUACUCGAGUGGCGAACGGGUGAGUAACACGUGAGUGAUCUGCCCCCAACUUGGGUAUAAGCCUGGGAAACUGGGUCUAAUUCCCGAUAGGACUGCAGGGUGGUGCCUGUGGUGGAAAACGAUUUUCUAGUGGUUGGGGAUGAGCUCGCGGCCUAUCAGCUUGUUGGUGGGGUAAUGGCCUACCAAGGCGGCGACGGGUAGCCGGCCUGAGAGGGUGGACGGCCACAUUGGGACUGAGAUACGGCCCAGACUCCUACGGAGGCAGCAGUGGGGAAUAUUGCACAAUGGGCGGAAGCCUGAUGCAGCGACGCCGCGUGGGGGAUGACGGCCUUCGGGUUGUAAACUCCUUUCGACCGCGAGGAAGCCACCUGGUUGGAAGGGUGGUGACGGUAGUGGUAGAAGAAGCACCGGCUAACUACGUG